rnacentral:misc_RNA from 1 species
UCCCAUGCAUCCUAUCUGACCACCA